rnacentral:rRNA from 1 species
UCCGUAGGUGAACCUGCGGAAGGAUCAUUAUCGAAUUUAAGGCUUGGUUGAGCUGGCGCUUCGGCGUAUGUGCUUGCCUCGCUGUCCAUUCUUCAACACCUGUGCACACUUUGUAGUUACUCUUGUUCUGUUACUCUCUCUCCCUUGACUUCGGUCUUGGUUGAGGGGGGCGUGGCUCGAGGGUCUCUAUGUUAUAUUAUACACCCUUUACAAAAACAAGUCCAUAGAACGUCCAAUGUAGGCGCAGCGUAAAACACUGUUUGCUGAAAUUAAAAACUUAUACAACUUUUAACAACGGAUCUCUUGGCUCUCGCAUCGAUGAAGAACGCAGCGAAAUGCGAUAAGUAAUGUGAAUUGCAGAAUUCAGUGAAUCAUCGAAUCUUUGAACGCACCUUGCGCUCCCUGGUAUUCCGGGGAGCAUGCCUGUUUGAGUGUCAUUAAAUUCUCAACCACACUAUGUUUUAUUAUGUAGUCUUGUGGCUUGGAUCUUGGAGCGUGCCGGACCUUUUCUUAGGUUCGGCUCCUCUUUAAAUGCAUUAGCUGGAACCUCUUGUGGUGCCAGACUAUGGUGUGAUAAUUAUCUACGCUGUGGUUUGUUGCGCUGCGAUUUAACUAUGGGGUUCUGCUUCUAACCGUCCCUCAAAGGACAGUAUAGAGUGGUGUUGUUCGGGGUUCGCCCUGGGCAUCUUGCCUUACUCUUAUUGACAUUUUGACCUCAAAUCAGGUAGGACUACCCGCUGAACUUAAGCAUAUCAAUAAGCGGAGGA